rnacentral:rRNA from 1 species
GACGAAGGAUGCAAGCGUUAUCCGGAAUUAUUGGGCGUAAAGAGUACGUAGGCGGCUAGUCAAGUCCCGGGUUAAAUCCCGCAGCUUAACUGCGGAUCGGCCUUGGAAACUGGCUUGCUGGAGUGUGGUAGGGGUAGCGGGAAUUCCUGGUGUAGCGGUGAAAUGCGUAGAGAUCAGGAAGAACAACUGCGGCGAAAGCGCGCUACUGGACCAUGACUGACGCUGAGGUACGAAAGCUAGGGGAGCAAAAGGG